rnacentral:rRNA from 1 species
AUGGUUUAUCAAGUAGAUUACAAAGUUAUGUUCGUAGCAUGGGUUAUGUAUGUCGGACCUGCGAGCAUGUAUGUAAGCAUCAAUUCAAAUCCCCCAGCAUUUGGCACCUAUCAUAUAUAUACCAUGUCAGAUGUGUGUACCCUGGAUCUAUGUUCAGUCGUAUAUCAAUCAUCGGACCAACUAUCAUUAUUUGGCCUUGCUCGUUCGUUUGCAAAUUUCAACUUCCAUUUAUCUGCCCUGUCGUGCGAGCCUGGUUUGUUUCCAAGGGUCAACAACGACUGUGAACAUGGGCAUUGUGUUCAUUCAGCAGUAAAGUCAUGUAAUCCCACUAAAUUAAAAUAA